rnacentral:ncRNA from 2 species
CGCUUAUCAAGAAAGGCAGAGGGAAAUGGCCCGAUGAAGCCUUGACAACCUGUUUUCUGUGGUAACACAGAAAGUAAGGUGCCAAAUCCAGCCCGUAAAAGGGAUAGAUAAGUC